UACAGAGGGUGCGAGCGUUAAUCGGAAUUACUGGGCGUAAAGCGCGCGUAGGCGGCUUUGCAAGUCGGGUGUGAAAUCCCCAAGCUUAACUUGGGAACUGCAUUCGAGACUGCAUUGCUAGAGUAUGGGAGAGGGAAGUGGAAUUUCCGGUGUAGCGGUGAAAUGCGUAGAUAUCGGAAGGAACACCAGUGGCGAAGGCGGUUGCCUGGGGCUUUGCUGACGCUGAGGCGCGAAAGCGUGGGGAGCGAACAGG
rnacentral:rRNA from 1 species